AUGAUGGGUCACUAUCACUGAAAUUCAAGGAAGAGAUUAAAAACAAACAAAAAAACAAAAAAAAACAAAAAGCCACCAAAAUUAGAUGUGGACAUGUGAUCCCUCUUCAUCUGUGGCCAGGAUUGACCAUUCCAUGCCAGAAAAAUGUACAUGGAAGCACUGGUUUCUUUGAACCCCUUCCCCAUCCCAACCCAUAAUUUUUCCUUGGCAUUCUAAACCUUUUUUUAAUCUUUAGCAAUAAGAUGAAGAUGGGCUUUACUGAAUUCAAGCUUUCCCUUUCAAGAGGUACAAUCGUUUUUAUUUGUUUAAUUUAUUUAAUUAAUAUUUCGUUUCCUUAUUAAUUUAGUUUCCUUACUAACUUAGGUCUCUUUGUAAUAUAUUAAAUCAUUGUAAACCCUAAUUCCUUUUUAGUGGCUCAAUUGUUUUUCUCUUCUUCUUUCUCCUUCUUUGAUUCUCUAUAUGUGAUUGAUUCUAUAGAUUAGAUUAUAUGUUAUCAUGGUAUCAGAGCCAAAAACAUAUGUGUUGAGUUUGUUAUUUUCAUUCAAUCCAUUCUCAAGCAAUUCAUGUCACCAAAAUAAUAGAAAACCCUAAUUUUCCCUUGAGCCGCGAUUGAAAAUAUACGAUAUCUUUCAAAUUAAACCUCCGUUCGACGAUUGGUGACCAUAUUUGGAUUUCACACAAUGAGACAAUCCUACCUGAUCGGCGCGUGUGUAACCACGCGCUCUAUUCCGGAGGCGCGUGAACAGAAGUUGCAGGGGUUUUGGAAGCGCGUGAGGGCGCGUGAGACACUUUCUGGCGACAGUUCAACGGGACAGUUUCUUCCUUGAUGAGUUUCUGACAUUUUGGUGGUAUUUGUUUGGUCAUAAGUGCACUGUACGGUAUAUUCCGGUGGUAGUUCUUGUUGGUACGUUGGUCAUUGUUGAGUUUCUUGGAAUUUGCUGAUUUCUUUUGAUUAGUAGUUGAUUAUUUAUUGAUUUCAUGAUGGCAACUGAAAGGGAUGAUUCAUUUCAAUCCAUUAGUGUUAGAUUAAAUGGUAAAAAUUACUCAUAUUGGAGUACUGUGAUGAGGAAUUUUGUAAAAGGAAAACGAUUGUGGGGUUAUGUUAGUGGAACUAUCGUGAAACCUGAGACCACUGUUGAGAAUUAUGUGAUAGAGUUAGAUAAUUGGGAGUCAAACAAUGCAAAAAUUCUCACUUGAAUUCAUAAUUCUGUUGAACAAUCUAUUGGUACACAGUCAGCUAAGUUUGAAACAACGAAAGAAGUUUGGGAUCACUUACAGAAGUUAUACACUAAGUCUAAUUUUGCAAAAUGAUAUCAGUUGGAGAUUGAUAUACGAGCCUUACAACAGAAGGAUAUGAGUAUUCUUGAAUUUUAUGCUACUAUGAAUUCAAUUUGGGAUGAGUUGGCUCUUACAGAAUAAGCGAGAUUGAAAGCAUGUGAGGACUAUAUUACUUUUAGAGAGGAACAACGAUUAGUUCAAUCUUUGAUGGCACUUCGCAGUGAUUUUGAGGGACUUAGAGGCUCUAUCUUACACCGCACUCCACUUCCAUCAAUUGAUUCGGUGGUUAGUGAACUUGUAGUUGAAGAAACACAUUUGAAAUCUCUUGCAGGAGAAGUAUCCCUUCUUCCAUUUCCCUUCUUCCAUCUAGCACUUCAAUGUUGGCUGUACCUUCUCGAUCAUCCACACAGAAUCAAAACAAAGGUUAUGUGCGAGUUGCUAGUGAUGAGUGUAACUUUUGCAAACAAAAGGGACAUUGGAAAUCUCAAUGUCCCAAGCUAUUGAAGAAGCAGCAGCCACAACCACGACAGUGAUCAUAUCAUCCCAAUGCCAAUGUAGCUGCUACCAUGCCAUCUAAUGACUCGUCUAUACUUGGAGCACCACCUUCUUCUAGUCCCAUGUUGACUGAUUUAGCAGAGCAGUUUCAAAAGUUCUUAGCCACACAGCCACAUGCUAUGUCAGCCUCUACUCAUAUAGGUUUGUCAUCUCAGAGUCACUCAGGUAUUUCUUCCUCGUGGAUAUUUGAUUCUGGUGCUUCCAAACACAUUUCAUCUAACUCAAAACUCUUUAAUGACUUGCAUCCUUCUAACUCGUCUACUUCUGUUAUGACUGUCGAUGGCACAUCAUUGCCUUUAGUAGGUGUUGGUUCUGUUAACACACAAAAAUUAUCACUUUCAGACGUUUAUUAUGUUCCAACUCUUACCUUAAAUCUUAUUUCUAUUGGCCAAUUGUGUGAUUCUGGAUAUUUAGUUCAAUUUUCUUCUACUGCUUGUUAUGUGCAGGAUCCUCGAUCUCAGAAGCUGAUUGGGAUAGGCCAUAGACAAGGAGGGUUAUAUGUUCUGGACAAUCUGAGACUACCAUAUGUUGCAGCCUCCAGUGUUGACUUGUCAUCUUUUUCUUUGAAUUCAUCGUCUUCUAGUUUUUAUUUGUGGCAUUCUCGCCUUGGACAUGUUUCCGCUAGUUGUUUGAAAUUUUUAGUUUCUAAGGGUCAUUUGGAAAAUUUGCAAACUCAUGACAUUUCUGAUUGUAGUGGUUGCAAAUUAGCUAAAUUUUCAGCUUUACCUUUUCCUCGUAGUGUUUCUCAUUCUGUUGCACCAUUUGAUCUUAUUCACUCUGAUGUGUGGGGACCUGCUCCUAUUACCACAAAAGGAGGAUCUAGAUAUUAUGUUUCUUUUAUUGAUGAUUAUAGUCGUUAUUGUUGGGUUUAUCUUAUGAAAUGACGUUCUGACUUUCUUUCUAUUUAUCGUUCUUUUAGAGCACUUAUUAAUACUGAACAUUAUAUUGUAAUUAAGAGCCUGUUUGAGCCACAUUAUAAUGAGAAUGAGAAAUAGAGCCGUUAUGGGCCCCACACCAGAGAUAGAAAUUCCAAAAUGGUGGCUUGAUGUGAUGAAUAACGGUCAUAUUUUUCAUUUUAAUGAGGUAAAAAUGUGGCUCAAACAGGGGCUAAGUGUUUUAGAUGUGAUUUGGGUGGAGAAUAUAUUUCAACUGGUUUCUCUGAAUUACUUGCUCUGGAUGGCACAAUUCAUCAAACCUCAUGUACUAAUACCCCACAACAAAAUGGUGUUGCUAAACGAAAGCAUAGGCACAUUGUAGAAACUGCCCGUUCCCUUCUUUUGUCUGCCAAAGUUCCCAAUGAAUUUUGGGGGGAAGCAGUUCUUACUGCUGUUUCUUUAAUUAAUAAGAUUUCUUCUUCCCACAAUUCAGGAUUAUCACCUUUUGAAACAUUGUAUGGACAUCCUCCUGAUUACUCUUCAUUGAGAGUCUUUGGCUGUACUUGCUUUGUUCUUCGUCCUGAGGCUUAAUGUAAUAACUUGACAUCUUGCUUUGCUAUCUGUGUUUUCUUGAGUUAAGGGUAGGGGCAAAAGGGUUAUCGUUGUUUUGACCCCAUUAAUAAAAAAUUAUAUGCUUCUGGUCAUGUUGUAUUUCUUGAGCACAUUCCGUUCUUUUCUAUUCCUGAUAAUACUUAUGACUUGACUAAAACUAAUCUUAUUCGUAUCGAUCAAUUUUCUAAUGAUAUUGACAGACCGUCUUCCCAUACCCCAUGUACUGUUGAUUCUUCAUGCCCUACAGGUACACAUGCACCAGCUCAUGAUACUCCUCCUGAUUAUAUGGCUUCCCAAGCACCAUUUGAGAUUGUCGAUCCAGCUCGUGCUCCCCCUAUUCGUCGACAUCCUGAAUGUAUUCGUAAGUCCACUCAGUUACCUGAUUUUGCUUAUUCAUGUUAUUCUAAAUCAUUUUGUUGUUUUCUAACCUCUAUUCAUAAGCUAUCUGAACCCACUUCCUAUAAAGAAGCUAUUCUGGAUCCUCUUUGACAACAGGCUAUGGCUGAUGAACUUUCUGCUCUACAUAAGACAGACACUUGGGACUUAGUUGCAUUGCCUCCAGGUAAACAUGCUAUUGGUUCUCGUUGGGUUUAUAAGAUUAAAACCAAAUCUGAUGGUUCAGUUGAGCGUUACAAGGCUAGAUUGGUUGUUAAGGGUUUUACUCAACAGUAUGGUCUGGAUUAUGAAGAAACUUUUGCUCCUAUUGCCAAGAUGACCACUGUUCGUACACUUAUUGCCGUUGCAUCUGUUCGUCAAUGGAGUCUUUCUCAAUUGGAUGUCAAAAAUGCAUUUUUAAAUGGAAAUCUUCAAGAGGAGGUUUACAUGGUUCCUCCUCCUGGUCUUUCUCAUUCUCCUAGAUUUGUUUGCAAGCUCAAGAAGGCACUUUAUAGCCUCAAACAAGCAUCUCGUGCCUGGUUUGAGAAAUUUUCCACUGUUGUUACCUCUCUUGGCUUUACAUCCAGUCAUCAUGACUCAGCUCUAUUCUUUAGAAGCACUUCUGCUGGUUGCAUUCUAUUAUUAUUAUUAUAUGUUGAUGAUAUGAUUAUCACUAGUAAUGAUGAUGAUGGAAUUGCAAGUUUGAAAUCAGAAUUGGCUCGUCGUUUUGAAAUGAAGGACUUAGGUGCAUUAUCUUAUUUUUUGGGGAUCGAAGUUGCUUUUUCUCCUAGAGGUUAUCUUCUGUCUCAGUCCAAAUAUACUAUGGAUGUUAUUGAGCGUGCCCGUCUUACUGAUACUAAAACUGUUGAUACUCCUCUUGAGUCCAACACUCGAUAUUCAUCCUCUGACGGUGUACUAUUGCCUGAUCCCACUUUGUAUCGCACUAUUGUUGGAUGUCUGGUCUAUCUUAUCAUUACACGUCCCGAUAUUGCUUAUGCUGUUCACAUUGUUAGUCAGUUUGUUUCAGCUCCUACUACGGUUAACUGGGCAGCAGUUGCUCAUAUUUUGCGUUAUCUCCGUGGUACAUGUUUUCAAAGUCUUUUGUUUUCGUUGACCUCAUCUUUAGUACUCCGUGUCUACUCUGAUGCUGAUUGGGCCAGUAACCCCACUGAUCGCAAGUCCACUACUAGCUUUUGUAUAUUUUUGGGUGAUUCUCUUAUCUCUUGGAAAAGUAAGAAGCAGACUGUUGUUUCUCGUUCUUCUACGGAGGCAGAGUAUCGAGCUAUGGCAUCCACUACCACUGAGAUUGUGUGGUUGCGAUGGUUACUUGGAGACAUGGGUGUUCCUUAUUCUUCUCCAACCUCUAUGUAUUAUGAUAAUACCAGUGCUAUUCAGAUCUCUCACAACUCCACAUUCCAUGAACGUACAAAGCAUAUUGAGAUUAAUUGUCAUCAUUUGCAGACUGACACCAUUUCCCAACCUUUUGUUUCUUCAUCAUUGCAACUUGCUGACUUCUUCACUAAAUCUCAUCCAGUUCAUUGUUUUUGCUUCUUACAUGACAAACUCUUGCUGCUUCUUGCUUCAGCAUCAUGAGUUUGAGGGGGGAUGAUAAUAUAUUUAUUUGUUUAAUUUAUUUAAUUAAUAUUUCGUUUCCUUACUAACUUAGUUUCCUUACUAGCUUAGAUUUCUUUGUAAUAUAUUAAAUCAUUG
rnacentral:lncRNA from 1 species